UACAGAGGGGGCAAGCGUUAUUCGGAAUUAUUGGGCGUAAAGGGCGCGUAGGCGGCCUGGCAAGUGGAAGGUGAAAUCCCUCGGCUUAACCGAGGAACUGCCCUCCAAACUGCUUGGCUUGAGUCCGGGAGAGGUGAGUGGAAUUCCCAGUGUAGCGGUGAAAUGCGUAGAUAUUGGGAGGAACACCAGUGGCGAAGGCGGCUCACUGGACCGGAACUGACGCUGAGGUGCGAAAGCGUGGGGAGCAAACAGGAGUUAGAAACCCUUG
rnacentral:rRNA from 1 species